AGGCGCGUAGCUCAGGGGGAGAGCGCCACCCUGACACGGUGGAAGUCAAGAGUUCAAAUCUCUUCGCGCCUACCA
rnacentral:tRNA from 1 species